AUGCUGGACAGUGAGGCCGUGCCACUCACAACACCAGAGCAGCCUUUGUAUUUUGUUGGAAGGAGGCAUGAAGCGGAAGAAGCAAGGGAGGACUCUGUUAACAAGGCAAGCCUGACGACGCUAGCAGGGCGUUGGAUGCUUAUUAUUCCUUGCAGUGAGCGCCGGUUGGCCGGUUCUUGCUGCUUGGACUCAUUGCCCAGUAUGGAAAACUGCUGGAAGUUCAGCUUCAUCCUCAACGAAAAGUCAGAAAAGUGGGGCUUCCUUGAAUCUCCCAGUGUCUAUCAGAAAGGAAGCAGAGUCAAGUUCUAUGACAACUGA
rnacentral:rRNA from 1 species